AUUGAACGCUGGCGGCAUGCUUUACACAUGCAAGUCGAACGGUAACAGGUUAAGCUGACGAGUGGCGAACGGGUGAGUAAUGCAUCGGAACGUGCCCGAUCGUGGGGGAUAACGCAGCGAAAGCUGCGCUAAUACCGCAUACGAUCUGAGGAUGAAAGCGGGGGACCGUAAGGCCUCGCGCGAUCGGAGGCGCCGAUGUCAGAUUAGGUAGUUGGUGGGGUAAAGGCCCACCAAGCCGACGAUCUGUAGCUGGUCUGAGAGGACGACCAGCCACACUGGGACUGAGACACGGCCCAGACUCCUACGGGAGGCAGCAGUGGGGAAUUUUGGACAAUGGGCGAAAGCCUGAUCCAGCAAUGCCGCGUGCAGGAAGAAGGCCUUCGGGUUGUAAACUGCUUUUGUACGGAGCGAAAAGGUCCUUUCUAAUACAAGGGGCUCAUGACGGUACCGUAAGAAUAAGCACCGGCUAACUACGUGCCAGCAGCCGCAGUAA
rnacentral:rRNA from 1 species